rnacentral:rRNA from 1 species
GACGAACGCUGGCGGCGUGCUUAACACAUGCAAGUCGAACGGAAAGGCCCUGCUUUUGUGGGGUGCUCGAGUGGCGAACGGGUGAGUAACACGUGAGUAACCUGCCCUUGACUUUGGGAUAACUUCAGGAAACUGGGGCUCAUACCGGAUAGGAGCUCCUGCUGCAUGGUGGGGGUUGGAAAGUUUCGGCGGUUGGGGAUGGACUCGCGGCUUAUCAGCUUGUUGGUGGGGUAGUUGCUUACCAAGGCUUUGACGGGUAGCCGGCCUGAGAGGGUGACCGGCGACAAGGGGACUGAGAUACGGCCCAGACGCCUACGGGAGGCAGCAGGGGGGAAUAUGGCACAGUGGGCGGAAGCCUGAGGCAGAAACGCCGCGUGCGGGAUGACGGCCUUCGGGUUGUAAACCGAUGUCGCCUGUGACGAAGAGGGAGUGACGGUAAUGGGUAAAGAAGCAACGGCUAACUACGUG